GCCCAGAUAGCUCAGUCGGUAGAGCAACGGACUGAAAAUCCGUGUGUCGGUGGUUCGAAUCCGCCUCUGGGCACCA
rnacentral:tRNA from 1 species